CACGGGGGGAGCAAGCGUUGUUCGGAAUCAUUGGGCGUAAAGAGCGUGUAGGCGGCCAGACAGGUCCGUUGUGAAAACUCGAGGCUCAACCUCGAGAUGUCGAUGGAAACCGUCUGGCUAGAGUCCGGAAGAGGAGUGUGGAAUUCCUGGUGUAGCGGUGAAAUGCGCAGAUAUCAGGAAGAACACCUAUGGCGAAGGCAGCACUCUGGGACGGUACUGACGCUGAGACGCGAAAGCGUGGGGAGCGAACAGG
rnacentral:rRNA from 1 species